rnacentral:lncRNA from 1 species
CUUAUAUAAAAGCAGAUGACAAAAUUCACAGCAAUUUUUCUGUCUGUACUGGAACUACAAAAAUCUAUUGUUUUACACUUGCAGACAUUUUUCAGAUGUCUGCCAAUAGGUGGCGCCAGCAACAUCCACCUUUGGAAGAGCCUGGGAAAUGGCAACCCACUCCAAUGUUCUUGCCUGGAGAAUCCCAGGGACAAGGGAGCCUCAUGGGCUGCCGCCUAUGGGGUCGCACAGAGUCGGACACGACUGAAGAGACUUAACAGCAACUUAGCAGCAGUGGAGUCACAUGAGAAGUGGAAUCAAGGAUGGCUUACUUCAAAGCAGCAGUCAUGCACAGAUGUGAGAGUUGGACCUUGAAGAAGGCUAAGUGCCAAAGAAUUGGUGCUUUUGAACUGUGGUUCUGGAGAAGACUCUUGAGAGUUCCUUGGAUAGUGAGGAAAUCAAACCAGUCAAUCCUAAAGUAAAUCAACCCUGAAUAUUCAUUGGAAGGACUGUUACUGAAGCUGAAACUCCAAUACUUUGGCCACCUGAUGGGAAGAGCUGACUCAUUGGAAAAGACCCUGAUUCUGGAAAAGAUUGAGGGCAGAAGGAGAAAGGGAUGACAGAGGAUGAGAUGGUUGGAUGGUAUUACCGACUCAGUGGACAUGAGUUUGAACAAACUUGGAGAGAGAGUGAAGGAGAGGGAAGCCUGGUGUGCUGCAGUCCAUGGGGUCACAAAGAGUUGGACAUAGUAAGUGACUGAACAACAACUUCAAAGCAGUCUCACCAGAAAAGUGAACCCUCCUACAUUGUUGGUUGGAGUAUAAGUUUGGACAACCACUAUGGAGCACAGAAAGGAGGUUCCUUAAAAAAACUAAAAAUAGAGUUGCUGUAUGAGCCAGCAGCCCCACUCCUAAGCAUAUAUCCAGAGAAAACUCUAAUCUGAAAAGAUGCUUGAACCCCAUUGUUCACAGCGGCACUAUUUACAACUAUUUACAAGCUAAGAUAUGGAAGCAACCUAAAUGUCCUUCGACAGGUGAAUGGAUCAAGAAGACGUGAUAUAUACAUACAAUGGAAUAUUAGUCAUAAAAAGAAUGAAAUAAUGCCAUUUGUAGCAAUAUGAAUGGAGUUAGAGAUUGUCAUAUUAAAUGAAGCAAAUUAGACAAAGACAAAUAUCAUAUGAUAUCACUUAUAUGUGGAAUCUUAAAAAAUGGUACAAAUGAACUUAUUUACAAAGCAGAAACAGACUCACAGAUCUAGAAAACAAACUUAUGGUUACCAAAGGGGAACAUUGGAGUGAGGAAGGGAUUAAAUUAGGAGUUUGGGAUUAAAAUAUACACAUAACUAUACAGAAAACAGAUAACCAGCAAGGACCUACUGUAUAGCACAGGGAAAUACUCAAUGUCUUGUUUUAAUCUAUAUCUUUUCCACCAUGUAUAUAUGUGUGUGCCUGUAUAUAUACAUCUGAACCACUUUACUGUACACCAGAAACUAACACAACAUUGUAAAUCAACUAUACUUCAAUAAAAAAAAAUUUACAAAAACA